UUUAACAAUUGAAAUCAAAUUAGCUCUCUUUUGCUCUCAUCUAUAAGAAACCUACACUCAUCGAUAAGAAAUCAACAAAUUACGACAUCUAAUUUUAUAUAUUUCUGCUCUUUGUUGAAGUUAAGAUCACUAGCUGCCUAUCCAGAGUUCUAUUUCUCCUUAAGAUUUAGAAACCAAGAUCAUUUGUUGAUUCAAUCAACCAGGCAUCACAUCACAAAUAUAAGGGAACUCUUUCUAAGAAUGAAAACUACAACUUCUGGAGCAGAUGCGGAGCUGGUUGUCAAUAAUCCUUCGCUGGUGGCAGCUCAAAAAUAAAGCGAAUACACUCCUCAUCGAUGCACUCCUCCUAAGAAGCAAAAAAGAACGACUCCAUCAGAAAAUUCAAAAUCUGGGAAUAGUGGCAGAGAGACAUCCGAGAUUUGGAAUCACUUUUCCAAAUUUAUUGCUAAAAGAGGUAAAUGUAAGGCAAAAUAUAAUUAUUGUCCUAAAACAUUUGCUGCAGGUAGCAAGAAUGAGACUACUACAUUAUGGUCGCAUUUAAAUUCUACAUGUCACAAAUCUCCUUUUAGAGUCAUUGAUAAGAGACAAACAACAUUAAAACCUAUCAAAGAAGGGUGGCUAGAAGGUGGUUCGGGCGCUACUGAAAGGGUAGUGUAUAAUGUGGAUAACAUUAGGAGGGCGAUUGCCGAAUUUGUAAUUCUUGAUGAGCAACCUUUUAGAGUUGUUGAAGGAGAAGGAUUUAAGAAAUUAAUGGCUAAAGCCUUACCUAAUUUUGAAUUACCUUCUCGUGUAACUGUUGCUAGACAUUGUUUGAGGAUUUAUCAUGAAGAGAAAGAAAAACUUAAAAAUCUUAUUAAGAACCAACGUGUAUAUCUCACUAGUGAUACAUGGACGUCACUACGAAACUUAACUUAUAUGGUUGUCACUGCACAUUGGAUAGAUGAUCAAUGGAAUCUACAAAAGAAAAUUUUGAACUUUUUUCCAACAUCGGAUCACAAAGGUGAGACUAUUGCAAAGGGAAUUGAAGCAUGUUUAUUUGGUUGGGGCAUUGAGAACUUGUUUACAGUGACCUUGGAUAAUUCAAGUGCUAAUGAUGCUUCCAUUAAGCAUUUGAAGUUGCGUAUUGAUGAUUGGAAAUGGGUAAUACUUGAAAAUGAAUUUUUGCAUAUUAGAUGCAAUGCUUAUAUUUUAAAUUUGAUUGUAUAAGAUGAGUUAGAUGAACAAAUUGAGCCUAUUUCUCGUGUAAGAAAUGCGGUAAAAUAUGUUAGGUCUUCUCCUUCAAGGUUUGCUUCUUUCAAGUCAUUUGUUGAGAAAGCUAAGAUAGAUACUCAUGGUCUUGUAAGUCUUGAUGUUGAAACAAGAUGGAACUCCACAUAUACAAUGUUAGAUACAACUCUAAAAUUUGAAAAAGCAUUUACAAAAAUGUAUGUGGAUGACCAUAAGUAUCAAAAGUAUUGUCGAGAAAUAAGUGCUUUAAGAGGAAAUCCAUCUGCAGACGACUGGAAGAAUGUGAAAGCUUUUAUCAAGUUUAUUAACAUUUUCUAUCAGACAACUUUAAAAUUUUCAGGCAGUUUAUAUGCUAUUUCCAACUCUUUCUUCCAUGAAUUUUUCAAUCUUCGAAAUGCUAUUAUAAAGUAUACCAAAAGUGAUGAUUGUACUUUGAAAGAUAUGGCAGGAAGAAUGAAAAGUAAGCUUGAGAAAUAUUGGGGUAAGUUUGAGGAUAUGAGUAUGUUAUUGCUUGUUGCUGUUGUGUUGGAUCCUAGAUACAAGAUGAAGUAUGCGAACUUCAUUCUUACUGAUGCAUUUGGUUCUUUAUUGGGAAGAUUAAAGUUUGAAUAUGUGAUAAGCAUUUUAAAUCGCUUGUAUAAUAACUACAAUGAUUCUUUUUUUGAGGAUUCUAAUAACAAUAUUGGAGGCGAUACUAGUAUGAGUGAAGUUGGUGAUUUAUUGCAAUCAAAGUGGGAGAAACUUUUGGAAGAUGAGGGAAAUACUAUAAAAAAAAUCUGAUCUUGAGAUAUAUUUGAUGGAUAACGUGGUGAAGAUCAAGGAUUUUAAUAUCUUGACAUGGUGGAAAGUUUCAUCUAGUAAAUAUCCAAUUGUUUCAAGGAUUACAAGGGAUGUUCUUUCUAUUCCUAUUUCUACUAUUGCAUCGGAGUCGGCUUUUAGUACAGGAGGUCAAAUUCUGGAUUCUUAUAGGAGUUCUUUAUCACCAAAAACAGUGGAAGCACUUAAUUGUACUCAACAAUGGAUACAAUCACCUUCUUUGGAAUAUAAGUUUGAAGACAUGUUAGAAGAAAUCCAGAAAAUUGAGCAAAUUGAAUAAGAAUAUGUAGACUCACCUUUGAGGAUUGAUUAGAGGGAUGAUUAACUACAAUUUGCUUCAUGACUAUUUUUGGAAGUGAGGUCAUUAUGCCUUUACAAGUAUUUUGGAAACAUGCUCCUCUGGUUGUAAUGUCUACUAAGAUGCCCAACUUCUUAGAGUUUAAUAUAUUCUCCUUUUGUUUAUUUUUUAAGACUCUUGGGUGUAAUGUCUACUCUUAAAAAGUUGAGUGAUCCUAUGUGAUAACUCUUAUGCAUAUAAUUCCCCUGUACUGCUCUUGUAUUGUUAUCAAUGCAAUACCAGGAUUGUGAUAAUCUAGUAAGCUUUGUGCUAUGCUUUCGGUAUUCCUUCUUGUUGGCAUGUAAUAAAUUAUA